UGGUGAACAUGUUUCAGCAUGAAUUUUAGAGCGGACGCAAACAUUCAAACCACAACACUAGCACUGAUGUCAGUGCGUUAGUAGAAGAAAUCCAGAAGGCAGAACCUCUACUCACAGCUUCACGAACAGAGCAAGUCAAACUUUUGAUACAGAGGUUGCAAGAGAAACUCGGCCAGAACAGCAAUCACACGUUCUAUCUUUUUAAGGUUCUCAAAGCACAUAUAUUGCCACUGACUAAUGUUGCACUUAACAAAUCGGGCUCAUGCUUUAUCACAGGAAGCUAUGAUCGGACGUGCAAGCUCUGGGACACUGCGUCUGGAGAGGAGCUGAACACGCUGGAGGGCCACAGGAAUGUGGUUUAUGCCAUAGCAUUCAACAAUCCUUACGGAGUCUUUGGAGAUGGUGUGAGCCGAAAGAAGAUGCCAGAAGGAUGGAGGGUGGUGAGCAGUGGAGAGGACACACGGGGCAAAGAGACCUCAGC
rnacentral:lncRNA from 10 species